AUUGAACGCUGGCGGCAGGCCUAACACAUGCAAGUCGAGCGGAUGAAGGGAGCUUGCUCCUGGAUCCAGCGGCGGACGGGUGGGUAAUGCCUAGGAAUCUGCCUGGUAGUGGGGGAUAACGUCCGGAAACGGGCGCUAAUACCGCAUACGUCCUGAGGGAGAAAGUGGGGGAUCUUCGGACCUCACGCUAUCAGAUGAGCCUAGGUCGGAUUAGCUAGUUGGUGGGGUAAAGGCCUACCAAGGCGACGAUCCGUAACUGGUCUGAGAGGAUGAUCAGUCACACUGGAACUGAGACACGGUCCAGACUCCUACGGGAGGCAGCAGUGGGGAAUAUUGGACAAUGGGCGAAAGCCUGAUCCAGCCAUGCCGCGUGUGUGAAGAAGGUCUUCGGAUUGUAAAGCACUUUAAGUUGGGAGGAAGGGCAGUAAGUUAAUACCUUGCUGUUUUGACGUUACCAACAGAAUAAGCACCGGCUAACUUCGUG
rnacentral:rRNA from 1 species